GCUCCUUCGCAAGACCUGGCUCACCAUCAUGUGCAUCCGCUGGGCUCGCUGCAACAGCCCACCGUCGCCGCACGAUCUGGCCACUUGAUGGACACAGACACGAGCUCGGACUCAUGCACCAUCCGGGCACAGGCAUGGCUUAAUGUCAACACUGCUCAAUGCAGGUUUGGAGCCGACCAAGGAAGUAACAGUUUAAGAGCUCGAGGAGGAGGGGCGUGUGGAGGUUUCGGCCGCCGGUGGCUGCACUGCUGGUCUUCAUCGCCUGCUCCUGUCAGAUCCAGCAGGACCUAUCCUAUUGGUUCUCCAUCGCUUCACUCUACUUCAUGUACAUAUCUGCGAAGAAGAUGACGACCCUGCCCCUGUUCUUCGCCAGCCACACUCUCCCUUGUGCGCGCAAUAACCAUCAUCGCAGAAGCUUAGCUGAUAGGCGGUGCGCUUUUUAGGGGAAGCGGAGACGAAGAUUUGUAUUGGCCAAAAAGAUGAAGGCGCUAUCGGAAGCACUGGCGAGCAACACAGUCUCAGCCGAUGAAUUGACGAGCUGAGGCGGGCUUCCAAUAGAGAUAACUACUGAUUUUGGACGGCACCUAGACUAUCGUAAAAAGCUAGAUGUGGAACAACUAGCAAAUUCUGUCCGUAGUUGGUCUGGUCUCAAAUAUAAUGUUUCAACAUGCAAAUUGGUAAGAGCACUUCUAUAUAUCUUAGACCCUAAUUUUUAUUACCUCUAAUAUGUAGCCUGUUUCAGAUCCACGUUCCAAUACAAUUCAACAAUGAUUUCAUUCUAUUCUCAUUGGACAAGGAUAGCAGAACAGUGUACAUUUUGGACCCUACUCCUAUUAACCCAUCUACCAAUACAACCCACUCGCAAAAUAUUUGCCCAAAAUUAAAUGGAUUGCAAAACAUUUGCCGAAAGCAAUGUCAAAAGCAUGCCCUGGGUCUAUAUGGAACGAGAAUAUUUUCCUAUGGCAUCAUAAAAUACUAGAUGAUAUUCCGGUUUACAACAGGGAAUUGUCCGGUUAUCGUGUUCCCCUCUUCAUGUCCACAUGGAAAGACGAAAGACUACAUUUACCAUUUUUAAAGGAUGGAUAUGUACUCAGAAAACUAAUUUUGGGCCAAGUGCUAACAUUGAAGGACAAUGAAUGUGAAGAUAACAUGCCAGCUGGUGUACUGGAAUUCAUCAAAUGUAUUAGGAAAAUCUAAAGCAAAACUGGUAGUUCAUUCGGUUGAAGGUGAUUUGUCAAAGAGAAUUCUAGCGGUCAACGGUUAAUAGGCAGUGAGCCGGAGUUUGAUUUGUACUUGAGACAUCACUUAAGAAGUUGUUCAACACAUGUACAUUCUUUUGAAGAUUGCACGCAUAUACAUAUUAUUAAUUUUGGUUUCCCAAUUACAA